GACCGCUGCGUGGGAUGCGCAGUCUCCAGGGGCCCGAGCAGGGCGACAUCCGCAGGGCGGACGCGCACUCCCAUACCCCUCCCGAGGCCAGACCUCGCGGUUCCUCUUCCCCUUCCCCGCUGACAGCGAGACGUGGACAGGCGCCGCGUAGAUCCGGUGGAGGCUCCCAAAUUGUUGCCAGUCAUCUGGCGGGGCCCCUGCCCCCUUCCUGCCGCCCCGCGCUGGGAAGAGCACCCCCUUUCCCUGGGCCCUCUGCCAGCCUGAGUUGCUGGGAAAGGCAGGCAUGUAGCCAGCCGCGGGCAGAGCUGGAGACAGGCCGCCACUGGCCCCGGGAGGAGCGACGAGUCUGGUUUUAGUUCGGGAUUUUUCGGACAUCCUGCGCGGUCCUACCCGGCCCAUCGCUCGGUGCUUUGAUGUCUUGGGGUGGGGCCUAGCUCCAAAGGUGAGGAUGGAUGGUCAGGGCCUGUGGGCUGUCUUCUUGCCUCUGUCUGUUCGCCUUUGUCCCAUCGGUUCAUGGAGGCCAGACCCAAACGCACACUAGCUUUCCCAGCCUGACUCACAGGCCUCUGCUCCACUCCCACCUCCCAAUAUCUUUCUGCAUUAGGGACCCCACAGGACCGCCAGGGAAUGUUAGGGCGAGCUCCAUUCCGUUUUACAGACAGAGCCCUAGAGCUUGCUUGUAAGAAAAGCCAGAAUAACAUUAGAACCUUGUCUCCCAAGUCCCCUUCCAGCGCUGUUUGCAUGAAAACAGUGGUGUUCCCUGGGAUUCCGGCUCAGGAGUUACCCUCUCAAAGAGGGUUUCCAGGCUAAAUGGGUUUGUCAAAGGUGCUAUCCCCCCUUCUCGGAGAGUCACUGGCACAUCCAAGGCUCCGAGAAGUCCUGCCGUAAAACCAGGCAAUAAGAAGGGUUUCUUGCCCCAGGGCCUGGAUCAGAUUUUGCCACUUAAGGUUCCCCUGCAGUCUUGGCUUUCGUUUCUUCCUAGGGGGCCCAACCCAUUGGUCUUUUUGAAGACUUGGGGUGCUCCCUCUUUCCCAGGGACUUUCUCUAGCAGAGGGAGGGCCCAGCCCAUGAGGGAAAAUAACUGCUCCUUGACAGGCCAGGGAGAGGCCUGGGACCUGGUGGAUCUGAACAUUCCUUUACAUCGUUUGGGAAAUGAAGCCAAAGUUACCCAGAUGGUUUCCCAGUCAAAGGGAAUGACACCUGCAAGAGAUCCUGGCUCUGCCUGUGACAGCGGUCACACUCACCGAGAGAGGAAAGCUCUCUGGCGCUGGGGUGGACAGCUGGCCCAGCCUCAGGAAGGUUUCUGUGUUGCAGGAGCCAUGGAGAUUCCCAGGGAUCCGGGCCUGUGUCAACACGGUUUCACAGCGGGGGAGGGAAGGACCUCUGCCCAGCAGCUUUCUGUCAACACCAUCCAGUGGAAAAACCAAGAUGGGUGAAGAUUCAUUUCGCCUCAACAUAAGAGAAAUCCUGAGUGCUGUGACUUGGGCACAAUAUUCCAAACAUCUGGAACUGAGCCCUGUGCCUCUGUACCCUAAGCAGCGGGUUUUGGCUCCAGCUUUUGUUCCUUUUGUCUUUUCUUAGACCACCAUCUAAGUUGCAUCCUCCGCUCAGAUCCAGACCCCUGAGGAUGCUGUCUUAGUCCCCCCAGCCCAUGGUGCUCCGUCUGUGGUCCAGUGACCUUACUCAGGAGCAGAUUUCUCCUUGGCCUUCAUGGUACCUUAUCCAUCCAGAUGUGCCUGAAAUAUUUCAAUGCUCACUGGCUCUUCCAGAUGUGCCUUGUGCUUGGCCUCUCGCUGCUUCUCCAGAUGUGAGAAGGGUGUGUAAUAUGGCCCCACAUCCUCCCCUCCCCCUUGAGGCCCUGUGCCAUAGGAAUGGCCACCUGAUCUGGCCCAGAAUGUUUGGAUACUGGAGUCCAUCUCUGGCUUCUCUCUCUGGACUCCAGGACUCAAUCUAGCCCAAGACCACUGUGGGCUGCUCCCAGCCCAAAGCCUAGGACCACUUGCAGACCCAGGAGAGGAUUUUUCCAGCGUUCUACAGUGGUCUAAAGAAAGGGUGGAAAUGGGAGGCCUGAGGGCUGGUAGGGAGAGGGGACCAAUGUGCCUCAUUUAAGAGUCCAGUGGUGAUUACUAAUAUGCUUUUAUGAAUAAAGUUUGGUUUGUCUGAU